rnacentral:rRNA from 1 species
UAGAUUAAGUUAUUAAGGGCGCACGGUGGAUGCCUUGGCACUAGAAGCCGAUGAAGGACGUUACUAACGACGAUAUGCUUUGGGGAGCUGUAAGUAAGCUUUGAUCCAGAGAUUUCCGAAUGGGGAAACCCAGCAUGAGUUAUGUCAUGUUAUCGAUAUGUGAAUACAUAGCAUAUCAGAAGGCACACCCGGAGAACUGAAACAUCUUAGUACCCGGAGGAAGAGAAAGAAAAUUCGAUUCCCUUAGUAGCGGCGAGCGAAACGGGAAGAGCCCAAACCAACAAGCUUGCUUGUUGGGGUUGUAGGACACUCUAUACGGAGUUACAAAGGACGACAUUAGAUGAAUCAUCUGGAAAGAUGAAUCAAAGAAGGUAAUAAUCCUGUAGUCGAAAAUGUUGUCUCUCUUGAGUGGAUCCUGAGUACGACGGAGCACGUGAAAUUCCGUCGGAAUCUGGGAGGACCAUCUCCUAAGGCUAAAUACUCUCUAGUGACCGAUAGUGAACCAGUACCGUGAGGGAAAGGUGAAAAGCACCCCGGAAGGGGAGUGAAAUAGAACCUGAAACCGUGUGCUUACAAGUAGUCAGAGCCCGUUAAUGGGUGAUGGCGUGCCUUUUGUAGAAUGAACCGGCGAGUUACGAUUUGAUGCAAGGUUAAGCAGUAAAUGUGGAGCCGUAGCGAAAGCGAGUCUGAAUAGGGCGUUUAGUAUUUGGUCGUAGACCCGAAACCAGGUGAUCUACCCUUGGUCAGGUUGAAGUUCAGGUAACACUGAAUGGAGGACCGAACCGACUUACGUUGAAAAGUGAGCGGAUGAACUGAGGGUAGCGGAGAAAUUCCAAUCGAACCUGGAGAUAGCUGGUUCUCUCCGAAAUAGCUUUAGGGCUAGCCUCAAGUGAUGAUUAUUGGAGGUAGAGCACUGUUUGGACGAGGGGCCCCUCUCGGGUUACCGAAUUCAGACAAACUCCGAAUGCCAAUUAAUUUAACUUGGGAGUCAGAACAUGGGUGAUAAGGUCCGUGUUCGAAAGGGAAACAGCCCAGACCACCAGCUAAGGUCCCAAAAUAUAUGUUAAGUGGAAAAGGAUGUGGCGUUGCCCAGACAACUAGGAUGUUGGCUUAGAAGCAGCCAUCAUUUAAAGAGUGCGUAAUAGCUCACUAGUCGAGUGACACUGCGCCGAAAAUGUACCGGGGCUAAACAUAUUACCGAAGCUGUGGAUUGUCCUUUGGACAAUGGUAGGAGAGCGUUCUAAGGGCGUUGAAGCAUGAUCGUAAGGACAUGUGGAGCGCUUAGAAGUGAGAAUGCCGGUGUGAGUAGCGAAAGACGGGUGAGAAUCCCGUCCACCGAUUGACUAAGGUUUCCAGAGGAAGGCUCGUCCGCUCUGGGUUAGUCGGGUCCUAAGCUGAGGCCGACAGGCGUAGGCGAUGGAUAACAGGUUGAUAUUCCUGUACCACCUAUAAUCGUUUUAAUCGAUGGGGGGACGCAGUAGGAUAGGCGAAGCGUGCGAUUGGAUUGCACGUCUAAGCAGUAAGGCUGAGUAUUAGGCAAAUCCGGUACUCGUUAAGGCUGAGCUGUGAUGGGGAGAAGACAUUGUGUCUUCGAGUCGUUGAUUUCACACUGCCGAGAAAAGCCUCUAGAUAGAAAAUAGGUGCCCGUACCGCAAACCGACACAGGUAGUCAAGAUGAGAAUUCUAAGGUGAGCGAGCGAACUCUCGUUAAGGAACUCGGCAAAAUGACCCCGUAACUUCGGGAGAAGGGGUGCUCUUUAGGGUUAACGCCCAGAAGAGCCGCAGUGAAUAGGCCCAAGCGACUGUUUAUCAAAAACACAGGUCUCUGCUAAACCGUAAGGUGAUGUAUAGGGGCUGACGCCUGCCCGGUGCUGGAAGGUUAAGAGGAGUGGUUAGCUUCUGCGAAGCUACGAAUCGAAGCCCCAGUAAACGGCGGCCGUAACUAUAACGGUCCUAAGGUAGCGAAAUUCCUUGUCGGGUAAGUUCCGACCCGCACGAAAGGCGUAACGAUUUGGGCACUGUCUCAACGAGAGACUCGGUGAAAUCAUAGUACCUGUGAAGAUGCAGGUUACCCGCGACAGGACGGAAAGACCCCGUGGAGCUUUACUGUAGCCUGAUAUUGAAAUUCGGCACAGCUUGUACAGGAUAGGUAGGAGCCUUUGAAACGUGAGCGCUAGCUUACGUGGAGGCGCUGGUGGGAUACUACCCUAGCUGUGUUGGCUUUCUAACCCGCACCACUUAUCGUGGUGGGAGACAGUGUCAGGCGGGCAGUUUGACUGGGGCGGUCGCCUCCUAAAAGGUAACGGAGGCGCUCAAAGGUUCCCUCAGAAUGGUUGGAAAUCAUUCAUAGAGUGUAAAGGCAUAAGGGAGCUUGACUGCGAGACCUACAAGUCGAGCAGGGUCGAAAGACGGACUUAGUGAUCCGGUGGUUCCGCAUGGAAGGGCCAUCGCUCAACGGAUAAAAGCUACCCCGGGGAUAACAGGCUUAUCUCCCCCAAGAGUUCACAUCGACGGGGAGGUUUGGCACCUCGAUGUCGGCUCAUCGCAUCCUGGGGCUGUAGUCGGUCCCAAGGGUUGGGCUGUUCGCCCAUUAAAGCGGUACGCGAGCUGGGUUCAGAACGUCGUGAGACAGUUCGGUCCCUAUCCGUCGUGGGCGUAGGAAAUUUGAGAGGAGCUGUCCUUAGUACGAGAGGACCGGGAUGGACAUACCUCUGGUGUACCAGUUGUCGUGCCAACGGCAUAGCUGGGUAGCUAUGUGUGGACGGGAUAAGUGCUGAAAGCAUCUAAGCAUGAAGCCCCCCUCAAGAUGAGAUUUCCCAACUUCGGUUAUAAGAUCCCUCAAAGAUGAUGAGGUUAAUAGGUUCGAGGUGGAAGCAUGGUGACAUGUGGAGCUGACGAAUACUAAUCGAUCGAAGACUUAAUCAA